AUGAGAAAUGAUGGGAACUUCCAAGGCCUUGGAAAUCUUGUUGAUCUCUCGGUUAAGCUUGUUCAAACAGGGAGACACAUAGUUCAUCAUUUGGUGUACUUGCUUUUAAAAUUGGUAUUGAUUCUACCGGUGGCAACGGCAAAUGUUGAGAGAGCAUUUUCUGCCAUGAGUAUAGUCAAGAGCAAGUUGAGAAAUAAGAUGGGUGAUAGUCUUUUGGAUGAUUGGCUAGUUACAUACAUUGAGAGGGAUGCUUUCUCCGAGGUGAAUGAAGAUGACAUAAUUGAUACCUUCAUGGCAAUGCAAAAGCGUAGGCCAGAAACAUAG
rnacentral:rRNA from 1 species